GUUGGGAGUGUAGUGUGCGCCCGCCGCUGCUUGGGCAACGUUCGGCAGCCUGUGUUCAAAGUGCUCUGCAAACAUCUCAUCCUUCUGAUAAGUACAUGCUAGAGCAGGAGGUGGAUGAGGGGUGGUUUAUGGCUUGUGCUGACGAUCUUGAUUGGAGUUGCUUGCUGCUAACAGCUCCUGCCUGGGCACCUCCCUGCACCUGGAUCCCUAAAUUAGGCAGGAGCAAGCAGUCACAGCCCUGUUAGAGCUGGCAAACUUUUCUCAUUGUUGAAUCUACUGGAGAAUAAAGCCCUCGCUGAUCUUUUUGCCCUGCAAAUAAAUUGGAUGGAUCAAGACCACUAUGAGAAAUGUCCCAUCCUCAUCCAGAGAGGGUUUUUCAGCAUUAAAAGCUUUAUAUGACUCAUAAACUAACAUUUAUUUCUGCAUGUGAGAGGAAGAAAUACAACACACUUCUAUGCAGCACUGCCAGGGCAGGCAGGAAAGAGAGACAUAAUUUAACUCCAGAUAAAUCAUGAUUUCACAGUGAUCUGCCUGCAGUUGAGAGUCCCAUCUCCUUGACACUGUAACAAUACUUGUCACUCAGCGUCCCAAAGAGACCUGCUUGCAGCCAGAGAUCAUAGAUGACUGGGAAGAUGCCUGGAGUUGUAAACACCAUCAAUCUGGAGAAAACAAAUGCGCCUGGGAGUUGAUGUCAGCUGAGGUUGUUCGAAGAUGGAGAUUGCCUCUGCAAAGCAUGGGAUGUGCCCAUAGGCUGUGUGGGUCCCUAGCCUUGGACAUCCGCUGGGUCUGUUGCCACCUGAAGCUCCAGCAAACCCAGGGAGGCAAAGCGCUGCUACUCCUAUUCCCCAAGGGGGCUUGGGUCCUCAGGUUUUGCAGGCUGGUAACCCCCGCCAUGCAGCCCACAGCACCUCUCAGGGUAGUGGACCCAGGCAGGAUAGAGAGCAGAGGCCUUUGCUUUCUACCACUUUUGGUACCUCUGUGCCUUUCCUGGCUUUGGCAGACUCGUGUCUGAUUUACAGCUUGUGUCCCCUGCUCGCCUGCUCCCAGCUAGGACUCUUCUGCUCUUCUCCCUGGCAGCUCCCAACACUCUUCCCUGGGUCCCUGCCCAUCCUUGAGGAUGUGUCCGCACCCAAGCUUAAACUCGGUGCUAUCAUGCACAGGCAGUUUCUUUUUCUGUCUGCCUCUUUCUUUCUUUUUCUUUUUCUUUUUCUCUUUCUUGUUUUCUUUUUUUAAAGAGGAAACUGAAUCCAAGGCUACCGUGUGAUGAUGAUGAUGUUAUUGUUAGUUGUUAUUUCUAUUUUCAUAGCUCCAAGAGGCAGAGAACAGAGUCCCACUGGGUUAAAUGCAGCACAUGCUAUAACAAAAAGACAGUCUGGGUGCCAAACAACUUGCAAGCUUCUUGCUAAUGUAAGGAAUGUAAAAUUGAGAUUACUAUAGCAACAUCUUGCUCACAUCGCAUACAGAUAGGAUUUGUUGGUCUUUGUGUGUGUGUGUGUGUGUGUAUACCUAUGAAACAUACAUAUACAAACCCUAAAUAUCUCUGGCAACUUUUUCCAUGGUUGAAUUUAUAUUUAAUUUCAAGCUCUCUGUGUCUCAGAUUGGUUUUGCUCCUUAAGAUUUGCAUCCAGUUUUCCUUCAUCAAGUCUUGCCUU